CCGCCACCGCAGCGCCGCCGGCAGGGCGCUGCCCCGGUCCGGUCCACAGAGGCAGCUGGGCCUCAGGGGGAAGGAGGAGCUGGGCCCCGCUGCGCGACCUUGGCUCUCAGCGCCUCCCGCUCUCGACGGAGGCGGUCUGCCUAAACCAUGGCAGCGGUUGAGCCAUUGGCACAGAGGGACUUUGAAGUUUCUAGCAGACUUCAUGGAGUUAUUGGCUCUUCUCCUUUAUCAGGCAGACUACUGUUUUAAAAGAAGGUGGAAGGAGAACUCAGAAUGAAGGCCUUACACAAGUCAGAGAAUACUGAAACUCUCCCACAAGCAAAGCAAGUUACUCCAUGGAGCCAAUAAUUUGUUUUCAUGGUAUACACUCAGAUACAUUGUUUAUCACUGGAAGAAAACCUUUGAUAAGGUUGUGAUAAUAUAGAUCACCAUGUGGGGGAAAAGAGAGAGAAAAAAGUAGUUUGCUGUAAAAAGUGACUCAGAGUGGCAUAACAACAUUCUAUGCUACCUAUAUCAAUGACUUCCAGACCAAAUUUGCAUCAUUUACAACUGGAUAGGAAAAAAGUUCUCAACGGAGAUCUGGAAAUGAAGCUGUGUUCCUUCUGAUUCAUGCAUCAUCACCAGUAAUAAAGAUUCCAUUGGCCAAAUUCUGCCGUAGGUUACACCUACGCAACCCCACGGUCUUCAGUUGUCCACUGUCUACACUUGAGUGUGGGGGCAGGUUUGAAUCCCUAAAUGGUGCUCCUGUUGAAUGGAAAAGCACCCAUACCUGAGCCUAAUAUGAAUAAAUAGCCUGAUCCUAACCAAGUAGUUUUAUAAAGAAGUUCCCUUGCCAUAGUAAGAAAGCUGACCAAAGAGACUGAGAUCACGGUGAAUUUGUGACACUGUUUAACCUGACUGGGCUUCUCUAUCAGCCUAUAAGCAAUGCAGUGUCCUUAUAGUAUCACUGAAUGCUCCACAAAAAAGGCCAAGCAAAAUAGGUUUGAAAAAUGAAAGUAACUUAUUGGUUUGGAAAGUGUUCUAAAGUGAGCAGGAUAGAUAAGAGCAACCCCCAUCUGAAGAAAGAGGAACUGCAGCAAGUUGGGGAGUAGGUGGUCAUGAUUUACCUAUGGUAAAGUGAGAGGAAGCAUUGUGUAGUGGUGUGACUAAGUGGGGGAUUUACUUAGUGUUUUGCAUUAAUAUGCUGUGUGCCUCUUUGUGCGUGUUUAACGAGAGGGUGGGAGAAGGUGUUCAUUGUUGCAGAAGGCCAGGUGUGACUAUGCAUAGCAGCCUAGACCCUGGACAACAGCCAGGACACUGUAGAAUUUAGCAACCAGUGACCUGGAGUCCCACCCCAUCUUGGGAGCAAGCCAGUUCUGGCCAGUGGGAGGACAAAGGGCUGAGGAGAGAGGGCCCCCAUGAUCUGAUUAGCUGAUUCUGGCCAGUGGGAACAAAGGACAGAAGAGAGGGCCCAGGUGAUCUGUUUGCCCAGGACCGAAGACAAAGGAUGGAGGAGGGGCUGUUGGGAAGGUGAUAUAUAUAGGAUGGUCGGCUGGAAGGACGUGGCUUCUGGACUGGGGACAACGGGCAGCCUGAGCCACCUGGACGCUGGACAGACCCAGAUGGACAGGGUUGAGGGCCCUGAGAACUUUUUGUGCUGUGUCCAGAUGUACAGUAAACCCUUCUGUUUUAUGUUGGCUGAGAGUCAUUGCAAUCUAGAGAUCAGGGCUGCAUUUCUCCCUCUGAGUGUGGAGGUCCUGGGGGUCCAAAGCGAAUAGACUUCCUGAGGGGACUCAUGGAGACAGACAGGUGUGCUGAAGGCUCAGAGAGGUGGGGUUCCAGGAGGCGGUGGAGCUCAGGGCUUAACCCCCAAGAGAGAAAGUGACUCCCUACAAGUGCUGUCACACACUGAAGGGGGUUCCUCCCAGGGAACGUACAGAACCGAGAGUGCACAGGUCCCGUGAGACCAUGACAAGUGGUUAAUGCAGAAGGCAGAGUCAGGAGACAUGAACUCCAUUUCCAACUCUGCUGUGACUUUCUGUGUUGGCUUGGGAAAGGCUCAACAUCUGUGUCUCAGUUUCACCAGCUAUAAAAAGGAGAAGAUAAUCCUUAUCUACCUCACAGAUUGUGAUUUAAUAACAGGUUGUACAGCACUCUGUUCUUUGGAUGGAAGAUACCAUAGAAGAACAAAGUUAUUAUAUGUGGCUAGAGAGAGAAAGAGGAAAGUCAGCGGAGAGCCCAUUCUAAAUGGAUUUACAAAGCAAGAGAAAGCAGCAGAUGCUGUGUGUGAGAUAGUCCUGCCAUUUAACGCAAGAGAGCAAUCUGGCUGCUGUUUUAUAUUAAUUUGGAUUUUAGACACUAAGGAUUUGGGAACACCAAAGCAGAAACUACUAUAGUUAAAAUGGGGUGUAAUUAAAUACAAGUAAAGAUUUCAGCACAGGGAUGACUCUCUAGUAGCAUUUUCUAGCAAUAUUCCAGAAGUGUUAAUAGGCAGACUUAUGAAUCAGGGAGAUAUGGAAAAAGAUUGCCAUGCCUAAGGAAAACUCCAGGAUUCUGGUCUGUAUUAAGGGGAAAUGCUUGUCAAACAGAAGGGACAAAGAAAGGAAGCAUUCGUUUGUGGAAAGUUAUAUUGCUUCACUAUUAGUUAAGAGCUGAUUGAGUCAAGAAUGGGAGAAGCAGCUUUCAGAAAAUGAGUCACAUGAAAUCUAGAUUUAAGUUUUAUCUGGGUAGAAGUAAUGGCAUAGGGUAGCAGGAGGGGGGAAAAAGUCACAGGAAUUCAAGAAAAUUGAGGUUUAUGCUAUUCAAAUCUUCCCACAAUUUUUGCUGUUUUCUGCAGAUUACAUUUUCCCCUUUAAUAAAUACUGUUUUAGCUGUU